ensembl:lncRNA
GGGGGGGGGUGCAGAUCAGCAGAGUCCUUCCGCAUUAUUUUAGUUAAAUUUGAUCACAUCAAUCUCGCUUUCGGUGCGUGUGUGUAUUGUUUAUUAGCGGCUAAACAUCUCCCGGCUUUAAGCACAGCCCCCCCCCCCCCACCACCACCACCCGCCCGCUCCUCCACCUGCCUCUGCGAUCAUCUCCACGCUUAUCUGCCGACAACAAGCGGCCCCCGUGCAUCCCUCUGUAUCGCGGCACCUUGGAAACAAUGCUAUCGUUCCGGUUUGUCAGUCACAGAUUCAUUUCAUGUAGAGCACUCGCAGGAGGAUUAACGGUAUCUACUUCUACGCCCGUGAUAAACUCUUAUCUCCCACCUUCCCCGGAGCGCUCUGUGGGCGCACGGUGACCUGUUUUCCUCUUCCCCCCUCCCUCCUCUGCCUGAUUCAGUCGUUUAACCACGUUUAAUACGGGCCUUCUCCCAAUUUGUUCCAUCCUCUGUGAGUGGGCCCGUUCGGCCCGCGGCGCUUUGCUUUCUUCAAAGACCUGCAGGAAGUUUAUACGCGUGGAAGGUGAGAGGGAGGUGAGGCAGCAACGGACGGAUCUCACAGAGUCUGAAGGGACAAUGAAUGAACUGCAGCGUAAUUAGGCAGCGGUUUAUAAAGCUGUCAGCGGGGGGGGGGGGUUUACGACUUAGCAGGUAGAGUACGUCACCACGCGAGGGCGGCGAGCCGUCGGCUGAGGGAUCCAAACGCGUGUGAAUGCUCGUACUGUUGGUGGUUUACAUCCGGCAGGUAAACGUCCUGUGUGCUCGGUUUACACAGCAUAAACGCAUCGCUUCCUCCUCGUUUAGCGGGAUGUAAACGGAGCGGACACCGGCUCGUGGCGGCGGCGCUCUCUGGGUGGCACUGCCACGAGGUGGCCUGGGGGGGGGGGGGGGGGGAUCAGCCCGCUGACAGCUCGCCUCCAUUAGGACCGCGCGUCAAAGUGUCCACAUGCUCCUGCAGCAUUUUUCACAAAGGUGAAAUAGUUUGAAGUCCUGCUAAAUAUUCCGGGCGCUUGCUUGCUGGGGAGUGGGUGGUUCCAGGAGAAUAGCGCUGUCAUGUCGAGUUACGGACCAUUUACUUCUGUUUAUGUCUCAUUUACAUUUCCUGCAGUGUUUUUGCAAUGCUUGCUGUAUGUAAUUAGAUUUUUUUUUUUCAACAUUUGCAUGUUUUUGUCUUUUCUGUAAGCGGAAUGAAUCCCCAGGCCAGACCCAACAGAAGACGAGGAACGUGUGUGGAAACCUUGAGCGUAGACAAAUCAGUCCUCAGUACUGUCCUUUAUUUCACAGAACAAACUCCGACGACGAUCAAUGUCAGCGUCGAUAUUCCCUGAUCUGCUCAGUUAGGAUCUACGUAGAUCCAACGUUAAAUCAAUGUUCCCUGUUCCUUGUGUCAGAGCGAGAUUAAAUGUCCUCCACCUCUGGACUGUAACUUUAUUACAGGCGUGUCCUUCUCAGACGGAUUCAUUUAGUUUUUACAGGCAUUGGGGAGUUAAACCAUCAGAAGCUCUACAGUCCGAUUUGGAUGAUCAAAGAGUGAAUGCUGUCAUUUCUCUAGACGCUACACCAAAAAACUACAACGGAGUGCGUGCGAUGGGGAAGGCAGCAGCGACCUCCCCCAGUACUCGUGCAACCUCUACUCCACUUUAUGAAUCAUUUCAGGUGUAGAGAUUUCAAUUUUCUGACUCACUGAGUAUUUGAUUAUAGCAGAAGGUGGGGAAUGAAUUGCACAUUCACCGGGAGCAGCUUUUUUCUUUCCAGUAACACAAAUCGGGGCGAAAGUUCUGCAAAAGAGUCGCUGUUCUCAGUUUUCUCAGAGACCUCGUAACUUUUCUUUUCUCUGUUAACAGAGCUCAGAUCGCAUAGAACAUAUGAUGACUGUUGAACGAGUGCCAACUUCAGAUGCUUUGACCUCGGCGGGGUCAGGAAGCUGCAGGGAAACCUGUGAAGGAUUAGCCUGUUUUUCACCAGACAAACUCCUCAGGAAAUCUAUGCAAAUACGUUUCAGCAGCCAGCAAACAUGUAGAUAUAAUAUAUUCCAAAGCGGGGCUUUAACUUGGUGCCGUCUCCACAUUUGCCCAGGGAGGGGAGGGACGCACCUCGUCUCUUAAGAGAGUGGGUAGCAGAGGAUGCAUGUAACCUCAUUCCGCAUCCGACACUCGGUGACAAAUACAUAGUUUGGGGCAAAUUUCCAUUUCAUGUUCGACUACACCGCACAUCUCAAAUUAAGAGCGCGGCAUUAUCAUCGACAAGGAAAUACGUUGCGUUAAUAUUCUCGCUUCACACUUGCCAAAGAAUUAGUUCAGAUCUUUGCAUAAAUUAACGGUGGCACAGUUUUGAAAAUCGGUAGCUCGAGGCCACGCUCCCAGAACAAGGCCUCAAUUCACCGUUUGUUUUGAUGGCUGCACUCAAAGAGUUUCUCUCCACAACGUUGUGUAGGCACAUUUCCACAGGGGGGGGGGGGGAGAUGGAAUUACCUGGAGCUCAUCGCGCGCUGCGUCUCCGGGAGCGCAGGGGAGCGCUCGACUCGUGUUUGUGUUACCGAUCACCCGAGGCUUCAAACAGCCCGUUUGCUCUUCCGAGGGCUGAGCGAGAACAGAUGCCGCUUGGUCCCCGCUGCUUUUUACGCUUUAAAAUGUCGUCUUCAUCCCUUUUCAAAGAAACAAAUGUGCAUUCAGAAGUUGCAUUCAGCAGAAUGCAUUUUUCCUUUGUAUUUCCAGGUGAGGAUUUGAGUUUGUCCUGGUGGAGUUUGCGCGGCUGUCCCGCUGCAGUGGUUCCCCUCGUCCUCGCUCAAUGUCAAGGGGAAGCGCGCUCCGUGGGGCAGAGGUUCCUCUUCCUGUCGCAUUGUGUUCAAUUGUGUUCAGCUCCACGUCUCAGUCCAUUUCCUGUCCACCCACAACCUUGAGUAUUGUCGAGUUAGCAAAGGCUCGGGUUGUUUUAACGGUGUGUGUUUGUGUGCGUGUUGGGACGUCAUCACCGCUCUCGACCUGCCGGCCUUCCGAGCAGUUGAGUUGAAGCUCGUGGAGAGAUGUGUGAUAUUAUGCAACGGUGACAACUACAUCCUGCCUGAACACAGCGGCUCCGCGGCCGUUACAUCGAUGCCAAACGAGGGGAUUUCUUAACAGAAAGGUGCUUCCUCUGUGUGUGGUUGUGUGUGUGUGUGUGUGCACACGCGUGUACCUGUUGGCGGGUGAAUUGAAUCUGCUCGCUUGCUUCCAUAAGCAUCCAUGAUGUAGCUGGUAAAACAACGUGUGUGUGUGUGUGUGUGUGUGUGGUUGCCUGCACCUCUCUGGCCUUCCUGUUGCUGUCAGUGAAUGACAAACCGCCGGCACGGAGCGACCAACGUGUCAGGUGCUGUUACAUCACACACACACACACACACACACACACUGUGGAACCGCUCGCAAAAAGGUAAUCAGCCACCAGCCUGAUUGCUCCGUUCGGCUGGUUAACGCUGACCUCCGAUGACACGGUCCGAUCCGCUGCAGGUCGGAGCGGCGUGCCGUCAUUCUGGUGUCAAGCACAUGUUACGUUACCGUAAAACCUGAGCAUUCAAAACACACGUUGGAUGAAUUGAGCCACUGAAUAAUAUUAGAAUUAACAAUAUAUAAACCCAGUUGAUUAUAGUCCAGACAAACGAGCAACAAUAAUAUUAAAAUCAGAGUUUAAUGAGCUCAAACUCCACUUAAAACAGUAAAACUGUCCGUCCGCGGGCUAAACUGUUAGCAUGGAGCUAGCGAUCGCUGACAUGACGUCUCGGAGGCGCCCAGCGGGGAGCAUCGGGGAACACUCUGUUUUUAUUUCUUUAGUUGAUCAACCAGCCAUUCUCGCACCAAAAAAAAAAAGUCUUUCUUUUUAAUUAUCUCAACUUUCCUCCCCGAGCUGUUCGCCUGUCAGCAACUUUAGCUCCGGCCUCAUGCUCCGCUGAACAGCCCUCCGUCCCUCCCCAGCAACUUCAACUUGGCAGAGGCCUCGAACUUCUCUCCGAGGGGGCUGACAGCGCUUCCCCGCCCCCCCCCCCCGUCUCCCCUGCACUCAAACUCCCUCCUGGGCCCAACGCGAAGGAAGCAAACAAGCCCAGUUGUUUAGUGGUACUUUGCAAGAAGUUAUGACACAUUCUGGAUGCAUCCGUGUUUGUACUUUAACCCGUUUCCUGUGCUUAAAAUGAUGCACGGUGUCCAAACCACAGUCCGGUUCACAAUAUUUCACCAGCAUUAAUAACGGUGAGAUGCAAUGACAACUGGACGGAGGAGGAGCCGUGAUUGCAGUUCAUACGGUUUGGACAAUAACCUCCAUCACCUGUCAGUCUGGAAGGUGCAGCUUGUGCGUUUGCUGUGGCGGAGGGAGGUGGGCCGCGUGGGCGGCUCUGUCACACAGACAGGUUUCUUUAUGUGACACAAGCUCCGCCCCCGCGCCGGGGUUUAACACGGGAAGUUUGAUCAAGGGGGGGCGGCAAUUUAUGGAGGUGUCACCCCUCCGUCGAUCCCCGUCUGAGCGGCCGGGGCACAUUUUCAUGCAAAUAACGCCGCGGCAAUUUUUUCCCUAAUAGCUUCUUACAAAUGAUGUACCAUUACAAGGAGGUUUAUUUAAACAAAUUUAAUACGUCUUUAAUCAACCCUCGCCGAGCGCCUUUCAAAAGGUCACACGCCACAUCAGGACAGCCCCCCCCCCCUCCUCACAUCACAGUAUUAGCUCAAGGAUGUGGAGGAGGAGGAGGAGGACAAGAGGAGCGGGGGGGAAUUAUUUCAUGGACAACUCAUUUUAAGCAAAUCUUUAUUUACAUUUUUAUUCAGUUAUUAAAUUUUAUUUCGCUGUGCGACAGAGAGGGCGGGGGCCCUCCUCCCUCCUCGUGCACACACACACACACACACGCACACACUCUCAUUUGCUUAUGAAGUCAUCUAAUCUGAGAGCGCAUGAACCUUUAGUGUCUCGUGUCUGACGUGGCGAGGCUCUUGAUCUUUUGUGUGCUGCGAGAUGAAAAAGGCUUGUAAAGGGAAGCCAUUUAACACCACUUACAGGUAUUAUAAAAGACUGAAAAUAACAGUUCAACACAGCCAACAAUAAAUGGAACAUACUUGAAAUUACUGCAUAUUCAAUUUAGCAAAACACUUUCACACUAACAUGUCUUUCUCUUCUCAUGGUGUCUUAUUUUUAUAAAUAAUCUUUAUUUUACCGUCUCAUUGGGAUACAAAUCCCUGUCAUAGAGCGCUUGAACUAUUCUGCACAUGCGAGUAUUUAAGCUUUAAAAAACCCUGCAAAUACUAUUCAUUGUUUUGAGGUCCAACCUGCGACAGAAUGAAGCUGUUGCGGCGCCGCUGUCGCUAAAGUAAGUUCUACAAGGCGGUUUGUGCGAGCGGAUAAUCCAGAGUGGCGCCCGGCUGCUGCACGUUGUGUCCUUUGCUCUGAACGACACCCACUUAACAGAUCCGACUGAAUCACUUGUCCUUGUGCUCGUGCCGUCUCCUCAGUCCUGUUUCAUUACCGCCGCCACACGCGCGACCCCGACCAAAGUCAAUAAACAAAGCCAUUUAGAUGUGUGCGGCUCCUGAGAUGGAGAUAUUUCAAUAUGCACGAUUGGGAGGGUGUGAUAUUACCUCAGCGUUGUGUGCUGUGACCCAGAAGGUGAACCCCCCCCCCCACACACACACACACACACACACACUGCACUUUGCAUAUAUGCAGGCGCACAACGUGUAUUUAACAUGGCAGUACAAUGUUCACCCUCCUUACCGCACAGCAUCAUGCAUACUGGAAAUACUCCGAUCCCACGUAGCUGUUUCGGGGAUGAAGUUAUUCGGGGGACUCUGUGUGUCGGAUGCUGAACAGAGCAUCUUCAUUUUUUGUGGGGGGGGGGUUUAACCCUUUCCACCCUAAUGCCUUUUUCUCAGGGUGGCAUUUACACAAAAUGAAUUGCUUGCUUAGACACAGCUAACUAAAUAAAAGACAGCGGGGGCUGAUACUAUGAAAAAUGGAUUUUCAUUACUGUUUCAUUGAUUCUAGUAAAUAAGGGCCCGGGGCCGCCACCGCAAAGGCUGCAAAACGGUAAUAAUUUAAUCUAAGGUGACACAGACCAAAAUGUAUGUGGACAAAAAAAAAUCAUCCCUGAAUAUUAAACAAGGGCCCCGAGACAAGAGGAAGGAGGGGGGGGGGGAAAGUGUUUGCAGGCGCAUUUAAAUGUAUGCAGAUUGCCGUCCAACCUAUUUAAAAACAAGAAUUAGGUAUUCCUGUCAUAAAUCACGUUUGCCGCUAUGGAUAUGCCUUGUUAUGCCGGUGUUUAACGGAAACCUGAAAGGUUAAAGCACUUGGUGCAUUAAAUUGUACAGGGAUAAUUAAUACUUUUCUCCUGGCUAUUUAUAAAAUAUGGAAAGUAGAGUCAGCUGAACUGUGACAGCACACUGGUUUGAGACGGAAAUAACAAGGAAAGGAAGACAUUGAGGCCGUUUACACACCGGAUAUCACAGCAUUAAAGGACCAGCCGAAUGAAACAAUAAUACAAUCGGGGGAGGUUGCUGCUGGGCCGAUGGCCAAGUGAGGCUCCGCCCUGCAGCUGCCCCGCCUCCUGGCGUGCGUCUGUGCGUUGGCGUGCGCUGUCACUAAUUAGUGCUUGUUAGCAGUGAGCUAGUGCAAACUCCCUAAUUUGACAAAUCUAUUCCAGGGGUGUUGACCUCUCCGUCAAACCUGGCGCCUCGGGGGCGGGCGGGGGGAGCGACGUGUCGCGUCUACCUGUCUCCGUCGCACCUCUCCCGACGCGCUGUCGAAGUCCCCGGGCGUCAAAAGCCAGCGCGCCGUUACUGCGGAGGAGAAGGAAACAGCAACAGAAAGAACCGCGGCGUGUCGCUCGGCGAGCGGCGGGGCCGCGCGCCCCCGCGUGAGGGGAAGGCGUUCUGACAAGUGUCCGGGCCCAUUACGCCGCGUUAGCCCGCUCACCGACUCGCGCUCCAGUGGCUGUUAUGUGCGCCGAGACGAUCAUGUCAAGCGGGGGGCGGGGGGGGAUAAUAGCCUCGACAUGCAAAAGGCACAACAUCUGGAGCGAGGUGGGGGGGGGUCCGGUCGAUCUGAAGGGAUCUGAUUGUAGGUCACAAUCAUCCAAGUCUCCCCGUGUCGGCCCUCCCGCUCCCUCAGUGGCGCCGGCGCUUCCACUAACCCGGCGCGGUGCUUGUGGCCGAGUCGGCGUAUCUUUAACCUGCUGCCUGGGAGGAAAGGGAGGAAUCGUUGGCUGCUCUUCGGUAGGAAGAGGACUUUAGCCUCCCAACCUGCGCAGGUGUUUUCACUUGUUGGACCCCGUUGGACCUCUGUGACGGCUCCGUUAGCUUCCUGUUGCUUUUCUUCCGUCUGUCUGGGCAGGACAGCUUUAUUUUGCCGAUGGCCCGGUGGAGAUCGGUGGUGUAAUCGUCCGGUGAAAUGUCCGUCCUUGUGAACACACUCGCACUUCAUAUUCAGGUCACUCCUUCGUACUACAUUCCUGAAGUUAAUACGAUAUUUGCUCGCAACAAUUAGCACAAGAUAAACAUAAGCCAAAUUGUUCUUGUUCCUGCUAAUGGAGCUAGCCUCUGGCCAGGCUAUAAUUAUUCCUAUUAGCAAAUUAAAUCGUUGCCUUGCCUCCUUCCUCGUUUUUUAUUAAGCAGUGGAAAUAACUUUGAAAUGAACACAAGGACGCGGCGGAUUCGUCUGCAAAGCUUCCGGUGUCCUGACGGGAUUUAUAAAUGGCUUCCUCCACACGUCACACACAGUUUAGAGACCAAGCGGCACACAUGCUGUUUGGUUUAGUGUUCAUGGCUCUCCCUGUUUUACACUUUAUACUAUAUACUUGGGAAGAUGGGAUGAAGCAAAAGGUUUUUCUAAAUGUAUUAAUUGUAUGAAUCUUGCCUGAAUCUUUGUAAAACUAUUCCAGUCGUUGCAUAGCAACAACAUCAAAUGUCCAUCAUGAAUGUAGAAACAUGGUGUUGAGUCUUUUCAUGGCACCAAAGUUCAUGUUUUAUGGGAUCCUCAGUCUGGAAAUAGGACAUUUUUAAUGCCUCAGUGCAUUGUUGGACUUCUCUAUGAGAACAGAGCCCCCCCCCAGCGUACAGCAUGCAGUCCACUGUGGAUUCUAAUUGGUUUGUGGUGGAACUGCAUGAGGAAGGAGCUAACCCCCCCUCACCCACCCAGGCCCCAGGUAUCCUCUUUUGUUCCAACCGAUGUGAAGUCUCCCGACCGCAAGCCUUAUGUUGGGCAACUUCGGUUCGUACAAAGGGACGUCGCACCUUCCUCAAAACGGUCGCAUCUAUUCCAAGCGCCUGUGGAAACUCCUGCUGUUGAUUUACAUGACAUAUCCAGCGCCGUUUCACACACACGGGCUCAGCUUCCCCAUUUCUGAAUGAGAGGCACGUGCGCGGUUAUCAGUCCACUGGCCCUUUGCAGACAGAUAUGGAAUCACAAGAUUACAUCCGCUAUUCAAUCGUUUUUUAAGUCUUUGAUUUUAGCACAUCUUAAAUAAGAGCACGGGGUUCUGGGGCAGUGAUGACAGAAAGACACCUGUUCGGUGUUUCCACGGUUACUGGAGUAUUGACUUAGCGUCUCGUUGGACGCCGUUGGACGCCGUUGGAUGACCUGACCCUCUUUGGGAACCCCCCCCCCCCCAAACGCCCACACAGUGUGGCUGCAGCUGUCUCCGCCAGCCUCUGCAGCUGCUUUGGCAUCGGAAGGACCACGCCGGUGAACUCUGGAGACGGGCGCUUAUAAGUGAACCGGCUCGUCGGCUCGCCGGCUCGCCUCUCGUGCGUUCACGCCAGUGAGAGGUCGCCCGUCUCACGGGUUUCCACUCAGAACGAGGAGAAAAGUGCUUAUUUCCAGGUGCCUCGGUGCGAUCGCGUUGUCACCGUAUGUGAGCGCCGAUAUUACGGCAGAUGCAUAAAACCUGGCUCCAGUCCCGCGCUAACAUGGCCUCUGCUCUGAUAGAUGGUCCGCGGCUGCAUGCGCGGCGCGUUUAGGACACCUGCGUGAUCGAUGCUCGCCAUUUAGCAGCGGGAAAGAACAAGUGCACCUCCAGCACCUUGUGCCGGACAGCUGGAUAGAGGGUUAAAGAGCCGGGGGUCAGGGGGUGGGGGGGGGCAGAACAAAGGAGAAAAGGUAAAACAUUGAGGGAGACACGGGCGAGAGAGAGAGAAAAAGAGGAUGUGUGAGAAAGAGAGCAAGCGACCUACAUCUGUUACUCAUUAUCCUCGUGGCCCCCUCCCUGGUAAUCGCUCCAUCUGACAUAACUCACUGCAGCCCUCACUUUGACUACAGAUGGGGUGUCGAUAGGAGCGGCUGGGGGGGGGUAAAAGUUAUCCGAGGCAAAGAUGCGAGCGGUGCGACUGAUCUCUGGAGUAGGAAGCCCUCCUCUGCCCCUGAAGUAUUGCACCAUUAAAAUGUCCCAACGUUGGACAGAUUUCCCAUCAGCGAUAAUUACGCUGUAAUCGCUGAGAUCUGGCGAUGCCUAAACAUUGCUAAACGCGACCAAAGUGUGACUGCGCAGGAAACGGAAUCAGACAGAUGAUCAGACAGGUUGUAAAUAAACCUGCCGGUUGGCCAAAUGUACCGAGGAGAGAAAAAAGAGCAGUUUGAGAGAGGAGUUAUUCCUGAUUCCAGAUGCUUCCAAGUGCUUUGGACGGCCUGCCCGGGUCCAGAGUCACCGUCAGCAGCAGCCGACCUCCACCUCGGACACCUCCACCUCUGACACCACUAUAGAAGAAAAGGGAUCCGCAGGAAAUACAAAAAUUGCGUGUAUGCAAAUGCGAAAGGGGAGGCGAAGAGUGUUAUUAUAAUCAGAUGCUCCUCAGCACCGUCAGGUCGUUGAAUUCUUGAGGACGUGCAGAAGCCUCUGCCUGCACUUCAUCACUGCGUCUCGAAAUUGAGAUCCGCGGUCGCCGCGAGGAGCCCCCGGGGGGCCGGCGGCCCACUUGUAGCCUCGGGAAGGUCAGGCCCCUAUUGUGCUCCUUGACGGUCAAGUGCUUCUUUUUUUUAAUCUCCGGCUCCGAGUAUU